AGUGAACGCUGGCGGUAGGCCUAACACAUGCAGGUCGAACGGCAGCACAGUAAGAGCUUGCUCUUACGGGUGGCGAGUGGCGGACGGGUGAGGAAUACAUCGGAAUCUACUUUUUCGUGGGGGAUAACGUAGGGAAACUUACGCUAAUACCGCAUACGACCUACGGGUGAAAGCAGGGGAUCUUCGGACCUUGCGCGAUUGAAUGAGCCGAUGUCGGAUUAGCUAGUUGGCGGGGUAAAGGCCCACCAAGGCGACGAUCCGUAGCUGGUCUGAGAGGAUGAUCAGCCACACUGGAACUGAGACACGGUCCAGACUCCUACGGGAGGCAGCAGUGGGGAAUAUUGGACAAUGGGCGCAAGCCUGAUCCAGCCAUACCGCGUGGGUGAAGAAGGCCUUCGGGUUGCAAAGCCCUUUUGUUGGGAAAGAAAAGCAGCAGGUUAAUACCCCGCUGUUCUGACGGUACCCAAAGAAUAAGCACCGGCUAACUUCGUG
rnacentral:rRNA from 1 species